rnacentral:piRNA from 2 species
UAGGAGCACAAAACAAAACGGAGGUCACAGC